rnacentral:lncRNA from 1 species
GAAAGGAGGAGAGAGGAGGCUAGGGUUCGGAGUUAAACCCGACAACUUUAGCCGACGAAAUAAAUAUUUCGUCGGCUAAAGUCUUAAAUUUCGUCGGCUAUACACCAAUUCGUCGGCUAAAGUCUUGAAAUUCGUCGGCUAAAGUCUUGAAAUUCGUCGGCUAAAGUCUUAAAUUUCGUCGGCUAAAACUUUGAAAUUCGUCGGCUAAACCUUUGAAAUUCGUCGGCUAAAGUAUUUGUAUACAUUUGGCAUGUUGUGAUUGUGAUGAUCAAACUUGAGAAACAGAAAUCCGACCGUCAGAUCUGACUAUCAUGAUAAAAUACAUGUAUGGGAAAAAAUUCAACUUGAUCCGAAAAGAAUAAGGGCUCGAUCCGGACGGUCAAUCUCGUAAGUCAAACCCCUAAACGCACGGAAAAGGUCGUUCGACCGUCUAAAUUACGUAUUUUGGCCGGACCUCCAACUGAAAAUAGUUUUAAACCGAUGACACGCAACAAGUCGUAUAAAAAUUUUACGCAAAAUAACUACCGAAUAUAGGGCUACUCAUAGAUGGAAAAAAUGAAAAAUUGCAUUGACCGCAACUAUCGGCGCCGAAUAUUUACCGGAAUAGUGUGAUUUUUCAACCGUGGAUGUAUUUCAACAUUCUCGUCAUAUCUUAUUGCAUGACUUUUUGCCGUUUGAAGGUUUUACGUAUAGUUUGUUUUUGAAACGGAACAUUUACAUAACACUAGGUAAACAAGUUAUACAACAUUAGUAUGCCUGUUGUGAUUGUGAUGAUCAAACUUGAGAAACAGUCAUCCGACCGUCAGAUCUGACCAUCAUGAUAAAAUACAUGUAUGGGAAAAAAUUCAACUUGAUCCGAAAAGAAUAAGGGCUCGAUCCGGACGGUCAAUCUCGUAAGUCAAACCCCUAAACGCACGGAAAAUGUCGUUCGACCGUCUAAAUUACGUAUUUUGGCCGGACCUCCAACUGAAAAUAGUUUUAAACCGNUGACACGCAACAAGUCGUA